AGCGAACGCUGGCGGCAUGCUUAACACAUGCAAGUCGCACGGAGUGGCGGACGGGUGAGUAACGCGUAGGAACGUGUCCUGAGGUGGGGGACAACCCCGGGAAACUGGGGCUAAUACCGCAUACCUUGGUGGCGGACUGCGUCCGAUUAGGUAGUUGGUGGGGUAAAGGCCUACCAAGCCUGCGAUAGGUAGCUGUUCUGAGAGGACGGCCCGCCACACUGGGUCCGAGACACGGCCCAGACUCCUACGGGAGGCAGCAGGGGGGAAUAGUGAACAAUGGGCGAGAGCAUGAUCCAUCAAGGCCGGGUGGGUGAAGAAGGUCGUCGGAUCGUAAGGCCCUGUCGACGGGGACGCGGUACCCGUAGAAGAAGCCCCGGCUAACUUCGUGCCAGCAGCCGCGGUAAUUC
rnacentral:rRNA from 1 species